rnacentral:lncRNA from 1 species
CCUAUAUUUUUGAUAGAAUGUUUCAUCAUGUUCUUUUUGUAUUAUUGUCAGCGACAUUUGUUCUUGCCUUUGGAGAGGGAUCAUGUCUAGGCUCACAACGGGGCUCAUGUUGCUCGGCCUCGUCGAGCUGGAGAUCCUCAAAUGUAGCAGCAAAAGCAUCUCAGGAGACCAUUAAUAGUAUGAAGAGAUCGAUCGAAGAAAAUAACCUCCUUCAUCAACUAUUAAGCUUCAAUCGAGGCCAAGUGCCUCCAUCUUAAGUCUAACUAACCACUAUAGGGCCUACAACCUUAUGGCUGUUAUAGUAGCUUGUUACAGUAGCUCUAGAUUUGAAGUUAUAUGAUUAUUUCAAUUAUGCUUAAUGUAUAAUACUUUGAGUUGAAGUUAUAGGAUUUGAUUUGGAUUUUAAGUUAAAGAAUUUGCAGAUAUAUGUUUUGAAGUUAUAUAAUUCUCUCAUGGAUG